rnacentral:rRNA from 1 species
UACACGACCGUACCGCAAACCGACACUGGUGCGCGAGAUGAGUAUUCUAAGGCGCUUGAGAGAACUCAGGAGAAGGAACUCGGCAAAUUGACACCGUAACUUCGGAAGAAGGUGUGCCUUUAGUAGGUGAACCUGUACAAGGGGAGCCCAAUGAGGUUGCAAAAAAUCGGUGGCUGCGACUGUUUAAUAAAAACACAGCACUCUGCAAACACGAAAGUGGACGUAUAGGGUGUGACGCCUGCCCGGUGCUGGAAGAUUAAAUGAUGGGGUGCAAGCUCUUGAUUGAAGUCCCAGUAAACGGCGGCCGUAACAAUAACGGUCCUAAGGUAGCGAAAUUCCUUGUCGGGUAAGUUCCGACCUGCACGAAUGGCGUAACGAUGGCCACACUGUCUCCUCCUGAGACUCAGCGAAGUUGAAAUGUUUGUGAUGAUGCAAUCUCCCCGCGGAAAGACGGAAAGACCCCAUGAACCUUUACUGUAGCUUUGUAUUGGACUUUGAACAGAUCUGUGUAGGAUAGGUGGGAGGCUUUGAAGUGUGGUCGCUAGAUCGCAUGGAGCCAACGUUGAAAUACCACCCUGGUGUGUUUGAGGUUCUAACCUAGGCCCGUAAUCCGGGUCGGGGACAGUGCAUGGUAGGCAGUUUGACUGGGGCGGUCUCCUCCCAAAGCGUAACGGCAGUUCGAAGGUACGCUAGGUACGGUCGGACAUCGUGCUAAUAGUGCAAUGGCAUAAGCGUGCUUAACUGCGAGACUGACAAGUCGAGCAGAUGCGAAAGCAGGACAUAGUGAUCCGGUGGUUCUGUAUGGAAGGGCCAUCGCUCAACGGAUAAAAGGUACUCUGGGGAUAACAGGCUGAUACCGCCCAAGAGUUCAUAUCGACGGCGGUGUUUGGCACCUCGAUGUCGGCUCAUCUCAUCCUGGGGCUGUAGCCGGUCCCAAGGGUAUGGCUGUUCGCCAUUUAAAGAGGUACGUGAGCUGGGUUUAAAACGUCGUGAGACAGUUUGGUCCCUAUCUUCCGUGGGCGCUGCAGAUUUGAGGAAGCCUGCUCCUAGUACGAGAGGACCGGAGUGGACACACCUCUGGUGUAUCGGUUGUCACGCCAGUGGCAUUGCCGAGUAGCUAUGUGUGGAAGAGAUAACCGCUGAAAGCAUCUAAGCGGGAAACUCGUUUCAAGAUGAGAUCUGCCGGGGCCUUGAGCCCCCUAAAGAGUCGUUCAAGACCAGGACGUUGAUAGGUCGGGUGUAGAAGCGCAGUAAUGCGUUAAGCUAACCGAUACUAAUUGCUCGUGCGGCUUGAUC